rnacentral:rRNA from 1 species
CCAGACUCCUACGGGAGGCAGCAGUGGGGAAUAUUGCACAAUGGGGGAAACCCUGAUGCAGCGACGCCGCGUGAGUGAAGAAGUAUUUCGGUAUGUAAAGCUCUAUCAGCAGGGAAGAAAUAGCGACCUUUGGGUCGCCAGACGGUACCUGAUUAAGAAGCCCCGGCUAACUACGUGCCAGCAGCCGCGGUAAUACGUAGGGGGCAAGCGUUAUCCGGAUUUACUGGGUGUAAAGGGAGCGUAGACGGCAGCGCAAGUCUGAAGUGAAAUGCCGGGGCUUAACCCCGGAACUGCUUUGGAAACUGUGUAACUGGAGUACAGGAGGGGCAGGCGGAAUUCCUGGUGUAGCGGUGAAAUGCGUAGAUAUCGGGAGGAACACCGGCGGCGAAGGCGGCCUGCUGGACUGAAACUGACGUUGAGGCUCGAAAGCGUGGGGAGCAAACAGGAUUAGAUACCCGCGUA